AUUAGGUUUGCUAUUAUGUACUGCACUAUCUUUGUAUUGCCUACCGGAACGAACAUGGAAAGUGGAUCAUGUAUGAUGACGAAACUGUAAAGGUAAUUGGUGGCUGGAAUGAUGUUCUUGAAAUGUGUGAAAGAGGACACAUGCAACCACAUAUCCUCUUUUUUGAAUCUGUAAACUAGUAUGAUUUGAUUGAGCUACUUGAUCCUUUGAAAAUAUGCAGUGCAAGCAUCAGCAUGUGCAAGUUUUUGAGCCAAUAUUCCAACUGAUAAUGCACCUACGUAAUGGAUGGAUUCUUGUAUUUAGAUAUUUUUCGAUUGUUUUCCAGAGGAAACUUGUGUAGAACUUUUGUAUUGGCAGAAAAAAGUGAAACUACUAAUGGGGUCUAGUAUUGUUUUUCAGACUGAAAUGUGAUUAUGCAAAUAUUGACUUGGUAAA